UACGUAGGGUGCGAGCGUUAAUCGGAAUUACUGGGCGUAAAGCGUGCGCAGGCGGUUCGUUAAGUUCGUUGUGAAAGCCCCGGGCUCAACCUGGGAACUGCAAUGGAAACUGGCGGGCUUGAAUGCGGCAGAGGGGGGUGGAAUUCCGCGUGUAGCAGUGAAAUGCGUAGAUAUCGAGAGGAACACCUGCGGCGAAGGCGGGUUGCUGGGCUGACACUGACGCUGAGGCGCGAAAGCUAGGGGAGCAAACGGG
rnacentral:rRNA from 1 species